rnacentral:pre_miRNA from 2 species
UUUUAUGGAUGAGCAAAGAAAGUAGUCUCUUGAGGUAAAACCUACUCUUAGUGAAGAUGCUGUGAA